rnacentral:tRNA from 5 species
GCGAAAGUAGCUCAGUUGGUAGAGCACAACCUUCCCAAGGUUGGGGUCGCGGGUUCGAGCCCCGUUUUUCGCUCGA